rnacentral:tRNA from 1 species
UAAAACCUGUGAAAUACUAAACACAUCUCCUAAAUGCAACUCAGGCACUUUAAUUAAGCUAAGGCCUC